rnacentral:rRNA from 1 species
GACGAACGCUGGCGGCGUGCUUAACACAUGCAAGUCGAACGGAAAGACCCUGCUUUUGUGGGGUGCUCGAGUGGCGAACGGGUGUGUAACACGUGAGUAAACUGUCCUUGACAUAGGGAUAACUUCUGGAAAAACGGGCUAAUAUCGCAUAGGAGCUACUGAUGCGUGGUGGGCGAUGGAAAGAUUCGGCGGUUGUGGAUAUAAUGGCUGGUUAUGAGCUUGUUGGGCGGGUAGUGGCUUACCAAGGCUUCGACGGGUAGCCGGCAUGAGAGCGUGACCAGCCACAAUGGGACUGCGAGACGGCGCAGACUCCUACGGGAGGCAGCAGUGGGGAAUAUUGCACAGUAAGCGGACGCCAGAUGCAACGACGCCGCGUGCGGGAUGACGUCCUACGGGUUGUAAACCGCUUUCGCCUGUGACGAAGCGUGAGUGACGGUAAUGGGUAAAGAAGCACCGGCUAACUACGUG